UACGAAGGGGGCUAGCGUUGUUCGGAAUUACUGGGAGUAAAGCGCACGCAGGCGGAUUUAUAAGUCAGGGGUGAAAUCCCGGGGCUCAACCUCGGAAUUGCCCUUGAUACUGUCUAUCUUGAGCCCGGGAGAGGUGAGUGGAAUUCCUAGUGUAGAGGUGAAAUUCGUAGAUAUUAGGAAGAACACCAGUGGCGAAGGCGGCUCACUGGCCCGGUACUGACGCUCAUGUGCGAAAGCGUGGGGAGCAAACAGG
rnacentral:rRNA from 1 species